rnacentral:tRNA from 1 species
AUGUUAACGUAGCAAAGCCUGGACUUGCUAAAGAUCUAAGCCCUUUCUACAGAGGUUCUAUUUUUUUCGUUAACU